AGGGCACGGUGAGGGUGACGGAGGGUAACAUUUCCAUCAUGGUGACAUUGCAAGCUACAGGAAAUCAUUAAACCUCAUUAAACAAUAAGUCACAAAUAGCCUUGAGUCAUUAAAUCUUAUUUUUUAGUCACAUAUUUUAAAGACCCUAGCAGUUUUUUCCCCAGUGUUGUUGCCUAUUUAUGACAAAUGAUAUACAUUAUACAUUAUUUUUGACCACUUUCCAGAGUAUAAUUUCCAAGUCGCUGUGCUCAAAAGAGCAUUUGGAGAAGGAAAGAAUAUAAUAAAUAACUGAUAUGAUAUGAACUGAUAGAUAAGGGGAGGACGCUACACUGUUUCAAGGCCAAAAAUGCCCUUCAGAUAUGCACUGGGCUAUCUGAUCAAGGCUGCAACACUGAGAUAUCAUGCCUUUGUUUUUCUGCAUAUUUUUUUCAAAGAAUACCACAGUGUUUUAUAUGUUUUCAUGUGUUUGUCCUUCUUGCAGGUAGUCAUUUGUUUCUAUUCAUUUCUGUAAUCCCUGCUAUUACCUAUCUCAAGCUUCGAGCGUUCUCAAGUUUGAAUUCCAUAUUAAAAGGACCAAUGUGUAACAAUUAGGGGAUCUAUUAGCAGAAAUGGAAUAUAAUACGAAUAAGUAUGUUUUCUUUAGUGUAUAAUCACCUGAAAAUAAGAACUGUGCGUUUGCUUUAACUUAGAAUGAGCCGUUUAUAUCAACAUAUGAGCGGGUCCUCUACACAGAGCCGGCAGUCAUGUUUCUACAGUAGCCCAGAACGGACAAACCAAACACUGUUAUCUUUUCCUGCUUGGGCCGGAGACGAUAACGCCAUUCGCUACCGUCAUUCGCUACCGUCAUUCGCUACCGUCACUUCACCAUUCACGUCCCUCAUACACACACACACAAACUAAGCACUGUGUCUCCUCCAAAUGACCUAUGCUACUCUUAUAACAACUGUCUCUAGAGAAGAGCAUUCGUGUUUUCGCAUCAGCCAUCGUAGUUCUUCUACGUGCUUGGCACGCAGGAGAGGUUUCAGUUGGUUGCAAUCUGCAACCGCACUGCUAGAUACCGCCAGAUCCUACACACUGUACCUUUAAAUGUUGUCUGUGGAGA